AGCAUCAACCAGUUGCAGGUUGCAGAAGAAACAUGUUUCCUACAGUGACUGCAGGCUGAAGGAUAAUCACAUAUGUCUCAUAAAUUAAGGGGAAACCCUGCUAGUAAUCCUUCAACAUGCGAUGCUGGAAUGGUGUCUGAUGUCACUCAAAAUCCCAUAGCAGGGUUUAUUGUGAAGAGCGAAAGAACAAAGCUUCCACAGCGUGGAAAGGGACCCAAGCGGGGUUGCCCUUGAUUCUUAAGAACUGGGGUUGGUUGGCAGCCGCGAAAUCAUCUAGGAGAGCAGCACAUGGAAUCUAUGGCUCUCGAGAGCUGUAGCUUGAUUUUAGCCUAGAACUGGUCAAGCCAGAUGAGCCAGGCUGGCGGAUAUCGUCAGAAUGAUUUUCCUGCAUUCCUCAGACAAUGAGAAGCUAGCGCAGGGAGAAGCAAUGUUGCAGUGACCUCAUGUCACAGAGCUGAGACCCUGAGUGAGAUUAAUGGACAGCAUCUGCUGCUGCCGAGCUGAUGAAACGCACCAGAGUUGGCGCUGCCAAUGGGGCCCCAGGCUAGAUGGGUCCUCUGCCAAAGGACAAACCGCUGUUCAAAGCAAACACAACAGCGGAGAGGAAAACGAACAUUCCUGCCAUGAAAUCACAAGUCACAUCAAUAAAACACAAGGUUAAUUUCCAUAGGUCUGUGUCUCCACGGAGUUUCGUACGGAAGUAAUGUGCUUCGGUAGAAAGAACACAGGCUUUGGGUUGCUGCAGCCUGCCUGCUACUCUAGACAGGACAGCC